AACCUUUACACUGCACGACAGUGCGAUAAGGGAAUCCCAAGUGCGUAGGCAUAGAGCCUACGCUUUUGUCCACCGUAGGGAGGUGGACGAAUAAGGGCUGGGCAAGACCGGUGCCAGCCGCCGCGGUAAUACCGGCAGCCCGAGUGAUGGCCGAUCUUAUUGGGCCUAAAGCGUCCGUAGCUGGCCGCACAAGUCCAUCGGAAAAUCCACCCGCCCAACGGGUGGGCGUCCGGUGGAAACUGUGUGGCUUGGGACCGGAAGGCGCGACGGGUACGUCCGGGGUAGGAGUGAAAUCCCGUAAUCCUGGACGGACCGCCGAUGGCGAAAGCACGUCGCGAGAACGGAUCCGACAGUGAGGGACGAAAGCUAGGGUCUCGAACCGGAUUAGAUACCCGGGUAGUCCUAGCCGUAAACAAUGCCUGCUAGGUGUGGCUCCCACUACGAGUGGGUGCUGUGCCGUAGGGAAGCCGCUAAGCAGGCCGCCUGGGAAGUACGUCCGCAAGGAUGAAACUUAA
rnacentral:rRNA from 1 species